rnacentral:rRNA from 1 species
AACGAACGCUGGCGGCAGGCCUAACACAUGCAAGUCGAGCGAAGCCUUCGGGCUUAGCGGCGGACGGGUGAGUAACGCGUGGGAACGUGCCCUUUGGUACGGAAUAGCCCCGGGAAACUGGGAGUAAUACCGUAUGUGGUCGAGAGACGAAAGAUUUAUCGCCAAAGGAUCGGCCCGCGUUGGAUUAGGUAGUUGGUGGGGUAAUGGCCUACCAAGCCGACGAUCCAUAGCUGGUUUGAGAGGAUGAUCAGCCACACUGGGACUGAGACACGGCCCAGACUCCUACGGGAGGCAGCAGUGGGGAAUCUUAGACAAUGGGGGAAACCCUGAUCUAGCCAUGCCGCGUGAUCGAUGAAGGCCUUAGGGUUGUAAAGAUCUUUCAGCUGGGAAGAUAAUGACGGUACCAGCAGAAGAAGCCCCGGCUAACUCCGUGCCAGCAGCCGCCGUAACAC